rnacentral:rRNA from 1 species
AUUGAACGCUGGCGGCAUGCUUUACACAUGCAAGUCGAACGGUAACAGGCCGCAAGGUGCUGACGAGUGGCGAACGGGUGAGUAAUGCAUCGGAACGUGCCCAGUCGUGGGGGAUAACUACUCGAAAGAGUAGCUAAUACCGCAUACGAUCUAUGGAUGAAAGCGGGGGACCGUAAGGCCUCGCGCGAUUGGAGCGGCCGAUGUCAGAUUAGGUAGUUGGUGGGGUAAAGGCUCACCAAGCCAACGAUCUGUAGCUGGUCUGAGAGGACGACCAGCCACACUGGGGCAGAGACACGGCCCAGACUCCUACGGGAGGCAGCAGUGCGGAAUUUUGGACAAUGGGCGCAAGCCUGAUCCAGCAAUGCCGCGUGCAGGAAGAAGGACUUCGGGUUGUAAACUGCUUUUGUACGGAACGAAACGGCUCUGGUUAAUACCCGGUGAUAAUGACGGUACCGGAAGAAUAAGCACCGGCUAACUACGUG